GAAACCAACAGGGAUUGCCCUAGUAACGGCGAGUGAAGCGGCAACAGCUCAAAUUUGAAAUCUGGCCCUAGGCCCGAGUUGUAAUUUGUAGAGGAUGCUUUUGGUGACGCGCCUACCGAGUCCCCUGGAAUGGGGCGCCACAGAGGGUGAGAGCCCCGUAUGGUUUGCCGCCGAGCCUCUGUAAAGCUCCUUCGACGAGUCGAGUAGUUUGGGAAUGCUGCUCUAAAUGGGAGGUAAAUUUCUUCUAAAGCUAAAUACCGGCCAGAGACCGAUAGCGCACAAGUAGAGUGAUCGAAAGAUGAAAAGCACUUUGAAAAGAGGGUUAAAUAGCACGUGAAAUUGUUGAAAGGGAAGCGCUUGUGACCAGACUCGCGCCGGGCGGAUCAUCCAGCGUUCUCGCUGGUGCACUCCGCCCGGCUCGGGCCAGCAUCGGUUUUCGCCGGGGGACAAAAGCCUCGGGAACGUGGCCCCCUUCGGGGGGUGUUAUAGCCCGUGGCACAAUACCCCGGCGGGGACCGAGGACCGCGCUUCGGCAAGGAUGCUGGCGUAAUGGUCACCAGCGACCCGUCUUGAAACACGGACCGAGGAGUCAAGCAUUAGUGCGAGUGUUUGGGUGUAAAACCCGCACGCGUAAUGAAAGUGAACGUAGGUGAGAGCUUCGGCGCAUCAUCGACCGAUCCUGAAGUUUACGGAUGGAUUUGAGUAGGAGCAUUAACGCUUGGACCCGAAAGAUGGUGAACUAUACUUGAAUAGGGUGAAGCCAGAGGAAACUCUGGUGGAGGCUCGCAGCGGUUCUGACGUGCAAAUCGAUCGUCAAAUUUGAGUAUAGGGGCGAAAGACUAAUCGAACCAUCUAGUAGCUGGUUACCGCCGAG
rnacentral:rRNA from 1 species